rnacentral:lncRNA from 1 species
AUGCACAGCUGGGGCCGGCUUGCUGGAGACACGGAGCAGACAAAGAAGGCUGAGGUGCCUAAAGAGAGGAGGAGAGGAGGUGCAGAUUUGGGCGUAGGAGGGAGAUUAAACAAAACGAAACGAAAACACAUAUUUCUUUCAAAUGUCAUCACUUUGGCCAACUGUUUUCUGAAAGAUAGAAAAUGUGGGCUGUCUAGAGGUUUCUGUUGCCCAGACAAGAGUCCAGUGGCACGAUCACAGCUCAUUGUAGCCUCCAACUCCAGGCCUCAAGUGAUCCUCCCACCUCAGCCUCCUGAGUAGCUGGGACUAUAGGUGAGUGCCACUAUGCAUGGUUAAAUUUUUAAUUUUUUGUAGAGAUAGUGUCUCACUAUGUUGUCCAGGCUUGUCUUGGACUGGCCUCAAGUGUUCCUCUUACCUUGUCAUUAGGCUUUUAAAAGCCACCUUCCUUCAACUUAGUGUGAGUGAGAUUAAAAUCCAGUCCUGACAAAGUUUCUGAUAAAAGGAAGAAAUUCCUGGGAAAUAGGGGAAGAAGAAUCAACAUAUUUGAACUAGGAUAGAGGCAUGAAAAGUAGAUCGAGAAAACAGAGCACCUUAUUUUUGCCUGGUUAAUUUUCUCAAAAUGAAGCUAACAAGAAAUCUUUGAGAUGUUACCUUCUCAGAUGCUGUAGGAGGAGCUGUUGAUUCAUGGUCGAAUUUACUUGGCCUAUUUAUGAAUUUUCUUGUUUCUUAAAAUCAGAAAAAAGAAUCAUCGAAUUUUUCUUUGUUAGGUGCCCUGCAACUGAAAGCUCUGUAAACCAAUAAUGUAGUUGUUCUUAAUAGAUUGUAUCUUCCAGAUCUGUUUAUCUAGUUCAAAAAUCUUUAUCAUCACAAUGUACAGUAGCUUUUUGGGAUGAAUUACUAUCCCAUGGAAGCAAAUGAUAUUUAGAAAUCUUUGUGUGUGGAAGAGGUUAAUAACAUAUUUUUCUGAUUUGUUCUACAUUUCUAGUGAAUGGUCUUGAUGCUAUGUGCCUUAUAUUUAAAUAGUAAACAAUAUUUUGUUAAUAAUUGCAAGUAACAUGAAAUAAGUCAGAGCCUUUAUCUUCAUUUAACAUAUGUUCAUAUGGAAAAUGGAUGCACCUAUGUCAUCUUGGAGCAAGUGGUAGAGUGUCUAGGUCACUCAGAAUCAGACGAAAUACAUUCAGAUCCCAGCUUAGCAACUUACUGGCUACAUAAAUAUGGACAAAUUGUAAAGUAAUAUGAAUCUUGGUUUGUAAAACUGGAGCAAUAUUACCAACCACAGAGGGCUUUUUAAUAAUCUGGAGAUAACAUGGGCAAAACGUUUAGCACCUCUUUAUUAUAAGAAGGAAACAGACAAAUUCCUGGAUCCAGAUUCCAGACAAAUAUUG